AUGCUCACUUCAGCAGCACAUAUACUAAAAUUGGACCAAUACAGAGAAGAUUAGCAUGGCCCGUGUACAAGGAUGACACACGAAUUCGUGAAACAUUCCAUAUUUUA